UUUUUUUUUUUUUUUUUUUUUUCUUUUUUCCGGGACUUAAAAACGGUGACCCCGGACAUGCCGAAUUUGCGCCAUUCUGGAAAGGACCCCGAAAAUAAUUUUUAACCAUUUUCACAAAAAAGUUUUUUUUUUUUUUUUUUUUCGGGACUUAAAAACGGUGACCCCGGACAUGCCGAAUUUGCGCCAUUCUGGAAAGGACCCCGAAAAUAUUUUUUAACCAUUUUCACAAAAAGUGAUUUUUUUUUUUUUUUUCGGGACUUAAAAACGGUGACCCCGGACAUGCCGAAUUUGCGCCAUUCUGGAAAGGACCCCGAAAAUAAUUUUUAACCAUUUUCACAAAAAAUUUUUUUUUUUUUUUUUUUCGGGACUUAAAAACGGUGACCCCGGACAUGCCGAAUUUGCGACAUUCUGGAAAGGACCCCGAAAAUAAUUUUUAACCAUUUUCACAAAAAAUUUUUUUUUUUUUUUUUUUUUUUUUUCGGGACUUAAAAACGGUGACCCCGGACAUGCCGAAUUUGCGACAUUCUGGAAAGGACCCCGAAAAUAAUUUUUAACCAUUUUCAAAAAAAAAAUUUUUUUUUUUUUUUUUUUUUUCGGGACUUAAAAACGGUGACCCCGGACAUGCCGAAUUUGCGACAUUCUGGAAAGGACCCCGAAAAUAUUUUUAACCAUUUUCAAAAAAAGUUUUUUUUUUUUUUUUUUUUUUUGGGACUUAAAAACGGUGACCCUGGACAUGCCGAAUUUGCGCCAUUCUGGAAAGGACCCCGAAAAUAAUUUUUAACCAUUUUCAAAAAAAAGUUUUUUUUUUGUUUUUUUUUUCGGGACUUAAAAACGGUGACCCCGGACAUGCCGAAUUUGCGACAUUCUGGAAAGGACCCCGAAAAAA